CCUUAGCUCAGUUGGUCAGAGCUGUCGGCUCAUAACCGAUUGGUCGAAGGUUCGAGUCCUUCAGGGUCC
rnacentral:tRNA from 1 species